AGAGUUUGAUCCUGGCUCAGGAUGAACGCUGGCGGCGUGCUUAACACAUGCAAGUCGAACGGGAAUGUUUCGCUGAUGCGAUUUCGGUCAAAUCUUGAAGCAUUUUAGUGGCGGACGGGUGAGUAACGCGUGGGUAACCUGCCCUGUACAGGGGGACAACAGUUGGAAACGACUGCUAAUACCGCAUAAGCGCACAGCUUCGCAUGAAGCAGUGUGAAAAACUCCGGUGGUACAGGAUGGACCCGCGUCUGAUUAGAUAGUUGGUGAGGUAACGGCCCACCAAGUCAACGAUCAGUAGCCGGCCUGAGAGGGCGAACGGUCACAUUGGGACUGAGACACGGCCCAAACUCCUACGGGAGGCAGCAGUGGGGAAUAUUGCACAAUGGGGGAAACCCUGAUGCAGCGACGCCGCGUGAGUGAAGAAGUAUUUCGGUAUGUAAAGCUCUAUCAGCAGGGAAGAAAACAAUGACGGUACCUGACUAAGAAGCCCCGGCUAACUACGUGCCAGCAGCCGCGGUAAUACGUAGGGGGCAAGCGUUAUCCGGAUUUACUGGGUGUAAAGGGAGCGUAGACGGUAGACCAAGUCUGAAGUGAAAGCCCGGGGCUCAACCCCGGAACUGCUUUGGAAACUGGUAAACUAGAGUGCAGGAGAGGUAAGUGGAAUUCCUAGUGUAGCGGUGAAAUACGUAGAUAUUAGGAGGAACACCAGUGGCGAAGGCGGCUUACUGGACUGUAACUGACGUUGAGGCUCGAAAGCGUGGGGAGCAAACAGGAUUAGAUACCCUGGUAGUCCACGCCGUAAACGAUGAUUACUAGGUGUCGGGGAGUUAAACUCUUCGGUGCCGCAGCAAACGCAAUAAGUAAUCCACCUGGGGAGUACGUUCGCAAGAAUGAAACUCAAAGGAAUUGACGGGGACCCGCACAAGCAGUGGAGUAUGUGGUUUAAUUCGACGCAACGCGAAGAACCUUACCAAGUCUUGACAUCCUGUGACAGACGUAGAAAUACGUUCUUCCUUCGGGACACAGAGACAGGUGGUGCAUGGUUGUCGUCAGCUCGUGUCGUGAGAUGUUGGGUUAAGUCCCGCAACGAGCGCAACCCUUAUGGUCAGUUACUACGCAAGAGGACUCUGGCCAGACUGCCGUUGACAAAACGGAGGAAGGUGGGGAUGACGUCAAAUCAUCAUGCCCUUUAUGACUUGGGCUACACACGUACUACAAUGGCGUUAAACAAAGAGAAGCAAGACCGCGAGGUGGAGCAAAACUCAGAAACAACGUCCCAGUUCGGACUGCAGGCUGCAACUCGCCUGCACGAAGUCGGAAUUGCUAGUAAUCGUGGAUCAGCAUGCCACGGUGAAUACGUUCCCGGGCCUUGUACACACCGCCCGUCACACCAUGAGAGCCGGGGGGACCCGAAGUCGGUAGUCUAACCGCAAGGAGGACGCCGCCGAAGGUAAAACUGGUGAUUGGGGUGAAGUCGUAACAAGGUA
rnacentral:rRNA from 1 species